rnacentral:rRNA from 1 species
UGACCGCUGGCGGCGUGCCUAAUACAUGCAAGUCGAGCGAACAGACGAGGAGCUUGCUCCUCUGACGUUAGCGGCGGACGGGUGAGUAACACAUGGAUAACCUACCUAUAAGACUGGGAUAACUUCGGGAAACCGGAGCUAAUACCGGAUAAUAUAUUGAACCGCAUGGUUCAAUAGUGAAAGACGGUUUUGCUGUCACUUAUAGAUGGAUCCGCGCCGCAUUAGCUAGUUGGUAAGGUAACGGCUUACCAAGGCAACGAUGCGUAGCCGACCUGAGAGGGUGAUCGGCCACACUGGAACUGAGACACGGUCCAGACUCCUACGGGAGGCAGCAGUAGGGAAUCUUCCGCAAUGGGCGAAAGCUUGACGGAGCAACGCCGCGUGAGUGAUGAAGGUCUUCGGAUCGUAAAACUCUGUUAUUAGGGAAGAACAAAUGUGUAAGUAACUAUGCACGUCUUGACGGUACCUAAUCAGAAAGCCACGGCUAACUACGUG